rnacentral:lncRNA from 1 species
UGGCUGUAGUGGGCCCUGGAAGCCUCUGUAACCCUUCCAAAAUUCUCCUUUGUCUUUUGUGGAGAAGAUGGCCAGAAUGGCCAAAGAUUUACUUACUACCCUUGUGAGGCUAUUUAUCUGAACCAGUGGUGAUUUGCAUUAAAAGGAGCUAGUAGAAAUUCCCCUAAGAGGGCACUCUCUAAAUUAUCUCCCUUCCAUCUUUUUAUAAUUUCUAUCCCCUCAGACUUUACCCAUCAACCAACACUGUGCCACCAUGUGAGGUUGUGACAGCUGGGUGACAGGUCACCGUAGAGAAGUGAAUGCUGAUUGGGAUGCAGGUGUUAUGCUGGCAGAGAUGGAGACAUCACCAAACAACAAAGACAUCCAAGAGCUCUCUUUUAUUGAUAGAAGACUUCAACAGAAAGUCCUUUCUCCUGACAUAAACAAGCUUUGAUGAGAUAAAUUAUUCACAACUAUUCCAGGAAAACAUUUUCUUCAAAAAUUGUUGUUAUGCUGUAAAUUCUGGGAUAUAUGUGCAGAACAUGCAGGUUUGUUACAUAGGUAUACAUGUGCCAUGGUGAUUUGCUGCAUCCAUCAACCCAUCAUCUAGGUUUUAAGUCUCGCAUGCAUUAGGUGUUUGUCCUAAUGCUAUCUCUUCCCUUCCGCGCCCCCCUCCCCACCCCGGAACAGGCCCUGUUCUGGGGAAACUGUUGUCUUAAAUGGCAAGUAUGAAAAAAUGGCAUUUUUUUCUAGAACAUCAUGUGUUAAAUAGAAAAUAUAAGCAGUUUCUUGCAUUUGGAGUGCAGUAAAAACAAUAUGAGAAGGACUACUAUGGGAAUGUGGAUAGGUACAAGUUUUCUGAAGGGCAAUAUGAAAAAACAUUUGAGGGAUCUUAAAAAUAUGCUUAUCUACAAAUUCUCCUUGUAGAAAUAAGUGCAAAGGUACUAAAUAUUUAUUGAUAAUGAUUGCAUUGUAAUUAAUGUAACCCAAGUCCUCCAAAUGAGAAUUAGGUAAAUACUGAGUAAAAUCAUUUAAAACUGCUGAU